AUUGAACGCUGGCGGCAUGCUUUACACAUGCAAGUCGAACGGUAACAGGCCGCAAGGUGCUGACGAGUGGCGAACGGGUGAGUAAUGCAUCGGAACGUGCCCAGUCGUGGGGGGUAACGCAGCGAAAGCUGCGCUAAUACCGCAUACGAUCUAUGGAGGAAAGCGGGGGACCGUAAGGCCUCGCGCGAUGGGAGCGGCUGAUGUCAGAUUAGGUAGUUGGUGGGGGAAAGGCUCACCAAGCCGACGAUCUGUAGCUGGUCUGAGGGGACGACCAGCCACACUGGGACUGAGACACGGCCCAGACUCCUACGGGAGGCAGCAGUGGGGAAUUUUGGACAAUGGGCGCAAGCCUGAUCCAGCAAUGCCGCGUGCAGGAAGAAGGCCUUCGGGUUGUAAACUGCUUUUGUACGGAACGAAACGGCUCUGGUUAAUACCCGGGGCUAAUGACGGUACCGUAAGAAUAAGCACCGGCUAACUACGUGCCAGCCGCCGCCGUAACAC
rnacentral:rRNA from 1 species